GGGAUCUCCUGCCGUUGGUCCUAAGUGCCACUGUCUGUGCUGAGUUUUUGAAAGGUCAGAGCAGAUUGAACCUUUGUGGUUUCAUAUUCCCUGAUUUUGAAUUUUCUUAUGGGGAACCUGUCUUGCUGCAUUCAAGGUGACUCGAAGAAGCCUUCCCAAAGGCGUGUGAAAAGGCAGCCCUACUCUACUACCAAGGUGACGUCAGGGAGCACAUUCAAUGAGAAUACAAGAAGAUAUGCUGUGCACACCAACCAGUGUAGGAGACCUCAUGGCUCCCGGGUAAAGAAGAAGAGGUACCCACAAGAAGAUGACUUCCAUCAUACAGUCUUCAGCAACCUUGAAAGAUUGGACAAGCUUCAGCCCACUCUUGAAGCCUCUGAGGAGUCUCUAGUUCACAAGGACAGAGGAGAUGGAGAGAGGCCAGUCAACGCGAGGGUGGUGCAGGUGGCCCCUCUGAGGCUUGAAUCUACUCCCCAUGAGGACACCGUACACGACAUCACUAACGAGGACGCCACACACGACAUCGCUAACGAGGCCGCCGACAAGGGCAUCGCCAACGAGGACGCCGCCCACGGCAUCGCCAGCGAGGACGCCGCCCACGGAAUCGCCAGCGAGGACGCCGCCCACGGCAUCGCCAGCGAGGACGCCGCCCAGGGCAUCGCCAGCGAGGACGCCGCCCAGGGCAUCGCCAGGGAGGACGCCGCCCAGGGCAUCGCCAAGGAGGACGCCGCCCAGGGCAUCGCCAAGGAGGGCGCCGCCCAGGGCAUCGCCAAGGAGGACGCCGCCCACGGCAUCGCCAACGAGGACUCCGCCCACGGAAUCGCCAGCGAGGACGCCGCCCACGGCAUCGCCAGCGAGGACGCCGUCCAGGGCAUCGCCAAGGAGGACGCCGCCCAGGGCAUCGCCAACGAGGACGCCGCCCAGGGCAUCGCCAAGGAGGACGCCGCCCAGGGCAUCGCCAAGGAGGACGCCGCCCAGGGCAUCGCCAACGAGGGCGCCGCCCAGGGCAUCGCCAAAGAGGACGCCGCCCAGGGCAUCGCCAACGAGGACGCCGCCCAGGGCAUCGCCAACGAGGACGCCGCCCACGGAAUCGCCAGCGAGGACGCCGCCCACGGCAUCGCCAGCGAGGACGCCGUCCAGGGCAUCGCCAAGGAGGAUGCCGCCCAGGGCAUCGCCAACGAGGACGCCGCCCAGGGCAUCGCCAACGAGGACGCCGCCCAGGGCAUCGCCAAAGAGGACGCCGCCCACGGCAUCGCCAACGAGCUGUAUACGACAUCGCUAACGAGGACACCCUACAAGCCGUCGCUAACAAGUACACUGUACACAACAUCGCUAAUGAGGGCACUGUACAAGACAUCACCAAUGAGGGCGCUUUAUACGACAUUGCUAAUGGCACCGACAAGGCACGCUAACGUGGACGCUGUACACGACAUUGCUAAUGAGGACAGCGUAUAAGACAUCGCUAGUAACUAUCGCAAGAACAAAAAACCAAACACCGCAUAUUCUCACUCAUAGAUGGGAAUUGAACAAUGAGAUCACAUGGACACAGGAAGGGGAAUAUCACACUCUGGGGACUGUUGUGGGGUGGGGGGGGAGGGAUAGCAUCGGGAGAUAUACCUAAUGCUAGAUGAUGAGUUAGUGGGUGCAGCGCACCAGCGUGGCACAUGUAUACAUAUGUAACUAACCUGCACAAUGUGCACAUGUACCCUAAAACUUAAAGUAUAUAUAUAUAAAAAAAGACAUCGCUAGUGAGCACGCUGUAUACGACAUCGCUAAUGAGGACACCAUACAAGGCAUCGCUAACGAUGACGCUGUACACAACAUCACUAAUGAUGACACCGUAUAAGACAUCGCUAAUUAUGACGCUGUAUACGACAUCGCUAAUGACACCGUACAAGGCACGCUAACGAGGAUGCUGUACACGACAUCACUAAUGAGGACAGUGUACAAGCCAUCACUAAUGAGGACACUGUAUAUGGCAUCGCUAACGAGGACACUGUACAAGGCAUUGCUAACGAGGACGCUGUACACAACAUCGCUAAUGAGGACACCAUAUAAGACAUCACCAAUGAGGAUGCUGUAUAUGACAUCGCUAAUGGCAUCCACAAGGCAUGCUAACGAGGACGCUGUAGACGACAUUGCUUAUAAGGACACCGUACAAGACAUCGCUAACGAGGACGCUGUAUACGACAUCGCUAAUGAGGACGUUGUAUAUGACAUCGCUAAUGAGGAUGCUUUACAAGACAUAGCUAAUGAGGUUGCUGUAUAUGACAUCGCUAAUGAGGACAUUGUAUAUGACAUCGCUAAUGAGGACGCUCUAUACGACAUCAUUAAUGAGGACGCUGUAUACAACAUCGCUAAUGAGGACGCUGUAUAUGGCAUCGCUAAUGAGGAUGCUGUAUACGAAUUCGCUAAUAAGGACGCUGUAUAUGACAUUGCUAAUGAGGACACUGUACAAGACAUCUGUAAAAAAGAAGAUGCUGCCAAUGAGCCAUUGACACUGGAGAAUGAUACGUACCCUGAAAUAACUCACUUCCUGAGGAAAAAGCGCCAUCUCUAGGAUUUGAUUGUGGAGAGCAUAUCUGAUGAUGGGGAUUUGUAGGACUUUAAAAAGCACUCAUGUUUCCAUCCUCACUGUUGACUCCUGGCUUAAAGGGAUCUCCCGGGGUGAGUGAGGAGGCGGGAUCGGACCCUGGCAGUCUGACGGCAGCACCUGUGUUCCUCUGCACUGGGCCGUGGAUGACAUUACACACCUUGCCACUCCCACGGUCCUGUGUGUUCCGGAUAUUUUAAAAUAAUGGCUAUAAGGUUGAGCACUUCAGGAUACGCUGUUUUGCUGUGUGCAGAUGGAGGCAGUGGCUGGAGUGAAUGAACGGCAACACUUGCUGGCAACCGGCAGAAGCUGAGAGACAGGGAACAGGCUCUCCUCCAGAGCCUCCAGGAGCCAGGCCUUUGGACACCUUGAAUGUGGGCUUCUGGGAGACCAUGCGUUUCUGUUAUAAGCAGCCCAGUCUCUGGCAGUUUUUACGGCUGCCCUGGAACACUCAUCUAUACCUGUCUGACAAGGUCAAGCUCCAAGGAAGGGACUCUCUACAUAUCUACAUUGUUUGCAGAUUUUACAAUAAUCAUUUAUUCUUGCAUGGCUGAUCAUUGUUAACCAAUACAAAUAAAAUAAUAAAGAAAUGACCCACAUUUUA
rnacentral:lncRNA from 1 species